UAACUGAAGAGUUUGAUCAUGGCUCAGAUUGAACGCUGGCGGCAGGCUUAACACAUGCAAGUCGAGCGGGGGAAGGUAGCUUGCUACCGGACCUAGCGGCGGACGGGUGAGUAAUGCUUAG
rnacentral:rRNA from 1 species